rnacentral:rRNA from 1 species
CAGAGGUCUCAAGCGUUGUUCGGAUUCAUUGGGCGUAAAGGGUGCGUAGGUGGCGGGGUAAGUCAGGUGUGAAAUCUCGGAGCUCAACUCCGAAACUGCACUUGAUACUGCCUUGCUCGAGUACUGGAGAGGAGAUUGGAAUUUACGGUGUAGCAGUGAAAUGCGUAGAUAUCGUAAGGAAGACCAGUGGCGAAGGCGAAUCUCUGGACAGUUACUGACACUGAGGCACGAAGGCCAGGGGAGCAAACGGGAUUAGAUACCCCGGUAGUCCUGGCAGUAAACGGUGCGCGUUUGGUGUGGGAGGAUUCGACCCCUUCUGUGCCGGAGCUAACGCGUUAAACGCGUCGCCUGGGGAGUACGGUCGCAAGAUUA